AAAUCGCGAGCGGAGGACCGAUGUGCUGGCCACGUGGGCCCCGCCGGGCCGACUCCGGACCCUGCUGCCGCCCAUUCCUCCGGUGCAAGGGACCUGGAAAUGGGUCCUGGCCUGCGGAGGUAGUUUCCCCUGUGAAGCCAGGGACUCAGCCAGGAGCGUGAGGGGACCCGGAUCCUGAGUCUCCAAGCCGCCCACUACCCUCUGCUUUACCGGAUGGAACUCAUCAGUAACUAGGUCUGAGGCACAGUCAGUGAAUACCUGUUUAAUGAAUGCAUGCAUAAAUGAAUGAAUGGAUGAUCCAGCUCUUCCUGGAGCAGGCACGACUUCCACAGAAACAGAGCAAACGCUAGCCGUAAGCAGAAAGAACGUUAUAGCUCCAGCGCUGAAUGAGACAUCUUUGAUUCUGUGGUGAUGCGGACUUUGUGCCUCUCUGUGAGGAAUCACUUUGUUCCAAUGACGCAAUUUUCCUCACACUCCGGAAGUGUCCUGCACUGCCAGAAUCGCCCAGCUUCCCGGCACACCUAUCAACCAGUCGUUCCCAGCACUGCCCAGUAUGCAGCCUCCAGGCAGAGGGCCUGGAUGUCUUGGCAGCCCACCCCAAAGCCCAAACUCCUGCCCGCAUGCUGGGAAGGUGAGCCCUUGCCUGGAGAGCCCAGCAGGGGAAAUAGAAGGAGGGAAGGAGGCCUGCUCCUUCCCCGGAGCUCUGCUCUGCGGCUGCAGGAAGACCCGCAGAGGCCCUGGGCAGCAGAACUGUGGACAGCAAGGCUGGAGUUGUGAAACCCAACCACUCAGCUGGAUUCCAGAAGCUCAGGUGGUGGUGACUAAACCUGGCCUUACUUAAAAUGCAUGACUUUAUUGUCUUUCAAUGUAUUUUCAGUAAACUUCAUCCUCUCCA
rnacentral:lncRNA from 1 species